GUGGCAUCUUAAAGAGAUUCCCAUUUCAGAAAGUGCUGGAGCAACAGAAGAGGCUGCCCAGAGAGGCGGUGAGGUCUCCUUGGAGAUAUCCAAAAGCCGCCUGGAUGUGGUGCUGGGCACCCUGCUCUGGGUGGCCCUGAUUGAGCUGGGGAUGGAGCAGAUGCUUCCAGAGCUCCCUGCCAACUUCAACUGCUCUGUGAUCCAGUGAUUCUGUGUUACAUUUGCUUGAAAAGUGAGCUAAAUUCAGGCAAUUAAUGAAUCCUUUUUGGAAACUUUGGCCACCCUACUGUAGGAUAUUCAGAAACAGUCUGUAGUUGGUAAAAGCAACACUUAAAGUAUCUACGAUUAAGCCAAAAUCAAAUAAUGAGAAUAGCUGCAUCAGGGGUGGUAGCCUUCUUAAACCAAACUGAAGGAAAGAGGGGGAUAGAAACACCAGCCACUGAAGUAAGUGGAGAGGUUAUCCACCUCUGGAAAACCUACAAAAGAGGGAUUCAGCACAAAAAAUGAACCCACCCCUACAGGUGGAAUCCCAUCUUCAGUUUGUUCAAUCUCACAGCACGUCCGGCCAGAGGUGGAUGAGCUCCUGCUAGGGAGGACCACCUACCCUGCCCAGUUUUGUUUUGCUAGUUAUGAUGCCAUAAAAACUUGUCUGUCAGAGGAGGGACUGCCUCGAUGUCAUCUGCUGGCUGUGUGACUGCCCUCUGGCCAGAUUUGGCACUGUGGCAAUACCAGGUCUCAGGAGGGUGCAGGAGACCUCAGAAGGAGCAGGGAGGCCCAGCAGGGGCAGGUCACAAUAUCGCAGCAGAAGACCAGCUACAUCAAUGCAGUCUGUCCUAGAAGAAGGAUUUUGUGAGGCAGGGGACACUGCCCUUCACCCAGCGAAUAUCCAAGAAGAAACUGAACAUGGAGCCACACAUGGACACACACACACACACGUUCUGACUGAUUUUUUCAUGCUAACUCAUUAAACACUGAUUGUCUUCUUACGGUGUUUACAACAUCCAUUAUGGCUUUUUCACUUGUCCCUGAGCAUGUGAAAUCUAACCCCAGG
rnacentral:lncRNA from 1 species